GUGUUCCGCUCAAAAUUCAAAAGUGAAUUGCGCGAACAUAUGUGCAAAACGGACGUAUUUACUACGGUAAAAAUGGAAGGGCAAGUACAUAUGGCAAUUGCCUCUGUCGUGAAGACCCCUGUCUAGAUCUGGCCGCAAAUCUGUGAAAAGAUUUGAGGAUUACAGAAGCCAAUACCGUGAUAACUUGCUGAAAGACUACAUGGAGAAAUAUGAAGAUUUGAAAUAGAUUUUCCAUUGCAUCUCAGGUUUCGCGGAAGAGAAAGAAGAUAACACGAUUCCAUGAAAUCAAUUAUAUUAUUUCAUGUUAUUCACUACGUAUUUCAUAAAGGCAAUCAUACUCUUUUGGAAUGAAAUAUUUUGAUGAAAUCAUAAAAUACCACUGAAAUCUUUGAAAUAAAAAAUGUGAAA